rnacentral:rRNA from 1 species
CCUACGGGCGGCAGCAGUGGGGAAUAUUGGACAAUGGGCGAAAGCCUGAUCCAGCCAUGCCGCGUGUGUGAAGAAGGCCUUCGGGUUGUAAAGCACUUUCAGUGGGGAAGAAAGCCUUGGGGCUAAUACCCUCGAGGAAGGACAUCACCCACAGAAGAAGCACCGGCUAACUCCCGUGCCAGCAGCCGCGGUAAUACGGAGGGUGCGAGCGUUAAUCGGAAUUACUGGGCGUAAAGCGCGCGUAGGCGGUCUGAUAAGCCGGUUGUGAAAGCCCCGGGCUCAACCUGGGAACGGCAUCCGGAACUGUCAGGCUAGAGUGCAGGAGAGGAAGGUAGAAUUCCCGGUGUAGCGGUGAAAUGCGUAGAGAUCGGGAGGAAUACCAGUGGCGAAGGCGGCCUUCUGGACUGACACUGACGCUGAGGUGCGAAAGCGUGGGUAGCAAACAGGAUUAGAUACCCUUGUAGUC